AAGUCGUAACAAGGUUUCCGUAGGUGAACCUGCGGAAGGAUCAUUAAAAAAUGAGGUAUUUUAUACCUCUUGUAUUUAAAACCCAACUCUAAAAUAUAAAUUUUUAAUAAAAAAAAAAACUUUCAACAAUGGAUCUCUUGGCUCUC
rnacentral:misc_RNA from 1 species